rfam:Sordaria macrospora k-hell, WGS project CABT02000000 data, contig: 2.53
GGUUGUAUAGUGUAGCGGUUAUCACUCCGGAUUCUGAUUCAUAUUGGAUUUUCCGGCAACCCCGGUUCGAUUCCGGGUACGACCU